rnacentral:rRNA from 1 species
UACGUAGGCCUCAAGCAUUAUCCGGAUUUAUUGGGCGUAAAGCGUGUGUAGGGGGCAUAGUGCGUUUUCUGUUAAAGCCCGCCGCCCAACGGCGGAGAUGCAGGAAAUACGACUAUGCUAGAAGGAGUUAGAGGUGCAUGGAACUCACGGUGUAGGGGUGAAAUCCGUUGAUAUCGUGGGGAACACCAAAGGCGAAGGCAGUGCACUGGGACUCUCUUGACCCUGAGACACGGAAGCGUGGGGAGCAAAAAGG